CGGUCAUGACCUUUGGGAGGAGCUCAGAGAGGCGGAGAAACGAAGUUAGAAAAACAGAUUAAAGCCAAGUUUAAACCGGUGCUUCGGUUUGUCUGUACUGUGAGAAAGCUUAGUUACCGAAGAAGCCUGGAUGCUAUAACAAGCUUUGGAGCUGCUUUUCUGUCGAACAGGAGUGAGGAUGGACGCCGAAUACACCUGCGACGCGAAGGCGUCACCACUUUGUCCACAACAUCAUCCACGAUCGCAGAGACAUGGUCCAUGAUCGGAGAGACAUUGUUGAGGAUGAGGGAGACAUCGUCCACAAUCAGAGACAUUGUCCACGAUCGCAGAGACCUUGUCAAAGAUGAGAGAGACGUCGUCCAUGAUCAGAGACAUUGUCCCAUGCUUCGUAGAGACCUUGCGAUAGAAUCGGCGGAGACGGGGGUCACCGAUUUGAAGGCAUUGCCCGCGAUCAUGGAGACAUUGUUGAUGAUCACAGAGACACCGUCUAUGAUCUCAGAGACAUCGUCCACGAUCACAAAGACAUUGUCCAUGAUCACAGAGACUUUGUCCAUAAUCUCAGAGACAUUGUCCGCGAUCGCAGAGACGUAGUCCGCGAUCACAGAGAGUCUUCAUACAAUGAAGAAGUUCUUUGAGACCAGGACAGAGACCUCCAGGCGUCACCACUUUGUCCACAACAUCAUCCACGAUCGCAGAGACAUGGUCCAUGAUCGGAGAGACAUUGUUGAGGAUGAGGGAGACAUCGUCCACAAUCAGAGACAUUGUCCACGAUCGCAGAGACCUUGUCAAAGAUGAGAGAGACGUCGUCCAUGAUCAGAGACAUUGUCCCAUGCUUCGUAGAGACCUUGCGAUAGAAUCGGCGGAGACGGGGGUCACCGAUUUGAAGGCAUUGCCCGCGAUCAUGGAGACAUUGUUGAUGAUCACAGAGACACCGUCUAUGAUCUCAGAGACAUCGUCCACGAUCACAAAGACAUUGUCCAUGAUCACAGAGACUUUGUCCAUAAUCUCAGAGACAUUGUCCGCGAUCGCAGAGACGUAGUCCGCGAUCACAGAGAGUCUUCAUACAAUGAAGAAGUUCUUUGAGACCAGGACAGAGGCCUCCAGGCGUCACCACUUUGUCCACAACAUCAUCCACGAUCGCAGAGACAUGGUCCAUGAUCGGAGAGACAUUGUUGAGGAUGAGGGAGACAUCGUCCACAAUCAGAGACAUUGUCCACGAUCGCAGAGACCUUGUCAAAGAUGAGAGAGACGUCGUCCAUGAUCAGAGACAUUGUCCCAUGCUUCGUAGAGACCUUGCGAUAGAAUCGGCGGAGACGGGGGUCACCGAUUUGAAGGCAUUGCCCGCGAUCAUGGAGACAUUGUUGAUGAUCACAGAGACACCGUCUAUGAUCUCAGAGACAUCGUCCACGAUCACAAAGACAUUGUCCAUGAUCACAGAGACUUUGUCCAUAAUCUCAGAGACAUUGUCCGCGAUCGCAGAGACGUAGUCCGCGAUCACAGAGAGUCUUCAUACAAUGAAGAAGUUCUUUGAGACCAGGACAGAGGCCUCCAGGCGUCACCACUUUGUCCACAACAUCAUCCACGAUCGCAGAGACAUGGUCCAUGAUCGGAGAGACAUUGUUGAGGAUGAGGGAGACAUCGUCCACAAUCAGAGACAUUGUCCACGAUCGCAGAGACCUUGUCAAAGUAUAAUGUAAUGGGAAAAGUAAUCUAAUAUUAGAGGUGUCACCACUUCGUUCACAACAUUGUCCACGACCGCUGAGACGUCGUCCACUAUCACAGACCGUCUUCAUAUAAUGAAGUUCUUUGAGACCAGGACAGAAGUCUCCAGGUAAUUCACAAACAGUUGAA